CUGGGACUGGCAGAAGGGGGCCAUGGAUGAGAUGUCUGAGCAGGCUGAGUCGUGGAUGACAAGCCGAGGAGAGGGAAACUUGGGUGAGCAUUUGUCGUCGGGGUGCUGCCACCAGCCCCCAAGCAGGUGUGAGUUGCUUUGGAGGGCCUGCCACUGCUUCUUGGCUCCCAGAAAGGGGGCAUCUCCAGCUGUGCUGAGGCUUCUGGGUUGUGGCUGAGGCUUGGGUUGUGGUUCAGCUGGGGCACCUGGACUACAUUCUGUGCCGGGGGCCUGGCCUUGCCUCCCCAGAAUUAAUCAUCACAGCUGGUGGGGAGAAUGUGCCCCCUGUGCCCAUCGAGGAGGCCGUGAAGAUGGAGCUGCCCAUCAUCAGCAACGCCAUGCUCAUUGGGGACCAGAGGAAGUUCCUGUCCAUGCUGCUCACCUUGAAGUGCACUCUGGACCCAGACACCUCUGACCAGACUGACAAUCUGACUGAACAAGCUGUGGAGUUCUGCCAGAGGGUGGGCAGCAGAGCCACCACAGUGUCCGAGAUCGUAGAGAAGAAGGAUGAGGCCGUGUACCAGGCCAUCGAAGAGGGGAUCCGGAGGGUCAACAUGAACGCGGCGGCCCGGCCCUACCACAUCCAGAAGUGGGCCAUUCUCGAGAGAGACUUCUCCAUUUCGGGUGGAGAGUUGG
rnacentral:sRNA from 1 species